rnacentral:rRNA from 1 species
GUGGAUUAGAUACCCUGGUAGUCCACGCCGUAAACGAUGGAUACUAGCUGUUGGGGGUAACUUCAGUGGCUAAGCGAAAGUGAUAAGUAUCCCACCUGGGGAGUACGGGCGCAAGCCUGAAACUCAAAGGAAUUGACGGGGGCCCGCACAAGCGGUGGAGCAUGUGGUUUAAUUCGAUGAUACGCGAGGAACCUUACCAAGGCUUAAAUGUAGAUUGACAGGACUGGAAACAGUUUUUUCUUCGGACAAUUUACAAGGUGCUGCACGGUCGUCGUCAGCU